CAGUAGCCACGGUAAUGCGGAGGGAGCUAGCGUUGUUCGGAAUUACUGGGCGUAAAGCGCACGUAGGCGGUUAUUCAAGUCAGAGGUGAAUGCCCGGGGCUCAACCCCGGAACUGCCUUUGAAACUAGAUGACUGGAAUCUUGGAGAGGUCAGUGGAAUUCCGAGUGUAGAGGUGAAAUUCGUAGAUAUUCGGAAGAACACCAGUGGCGAAGGCGACUGACUGGACAAGUAUUGACGCUGAGGUGCGAAAGCGUGGGGAGUAAACAGGAUUAGAUACCCCAGUAGUCCCUGUCUCUUAUAC
rnacentral:rRNA from 1 species